rnacentral:rRNA from 1 species
UACGUAGGGUGCGAGCGUUAAUCGGAAUUACUGGGCGUAAAGCGUGCGCAGGCGGGUUUGUAAGCCAGAUGUGAAAGCCCCGGGCUCAACCUGGGAAUGGCAUUUGGGACUGCAAGGCUGGAGUAUGGCAGAGGAGACUAGAAUUCCUGGUGUAGCAGUGAAAUGCGUAGAUAUCAGGAGGAAUACCGAUGGCGAAGGCAGGUCUCUGGGCCAAUACUGACGCUCAUGCACGAAAGCGUGGGGAGCAAACAGG